rnacentral:rRNA from 1 species
UACACGACCGUACCGCAAACCGACACUGGUGCGCGAGAUGAGUAUUCUAAGGCGCUUGAGAGAACUCAGGAGAAGGAACUCGGCAAAUUGACACCGUAACUUCGGAAGAAGGUGUGCCUUUAGUAGGUGAACCAUUUACUUGGGGAGCCCAAUGAGGCUGCAAAAAAUCGGUGGCUGCAACUGUUUAUUAAAAACACAGCACUCUGCUAAGACGAAAGUCGACGUAUAGGGUGUGACGCCUGCCCGGUGCUGGAAGAUUAAAUGAUGGGGUGCAAGCUCUUGAUUGAAGUCCCAGUAAACGGCGGCCGUAACUAUAACGGUCCUAAGGUAGCGAAAUUCCUUGUCGGGUAAGUUCCGACCUGCACGAAUGGCGUAAUGAUGGCCACACUGUCUCCUCCUGAGACUCAGCGAAGUUGAAAUGUUUGUGAUGAUGCAAUCUCCCCGCGGAAAGACGGAAAGACCCCAUGAACCUUUACUGUAGCUUUGUAUUGGACUUUGAACAGAUCUGUGUAGGAUAGGUGGGAGGCUUUGAAGUGUGGUCGCUAGAUCGCAUGGAGCCAACGUUGAAAUACCACCCUGGUGUGUUUGAGGUUCUAACCUAGGUCCAUUAUCUGGAUCGCGGACAGUGCAUGGUAGGCAGUUUGACUGGGGCGGUCUCCUCCCAAAGUGUAACGGAGGAGUUCGAAGGUACGCUAGGUACGGUCGGACAUCGUGCUAAUAGUGCAAUGGCAUAAGCGUGCUUAACUGCGAGACUGACAAGUCGAGCAGAUGCGAAAGCAGGACAUAGUGAUCCGGUGGUUCUGUAUGGAAGGGCCAUCGCUCAACGGAUAAAAGGUACUCUGGGGAUAACAGGCUGAUACCGCCCAAGAGUUCAUAUCGACGGCGGUGUUUGGCACCUCGAUGUCGGCUCAUCUCAUCCUGGGGCUGUAGCCGGUCCCAAGGGUAUGGCUGUUCGCCAUUUAAAGAGGUACGUGAGCUGGGUUUAAAACGUCGUGAGACAGUUUGGUCCCUAUCUUCCGUGGGCGCUGCAGAUUUGAGGAAGCCUGCUCCUAGUACGAGAGGACCGGAGUGGACGAACCUCUGGUGUAUCGGUUGUCACGCCAGUGGCAUUGCCGAGUAGCUAAGUUCGGAAGAGAUAACCGCUGAAAGCAUCUAAGCGGGAAACUCGUUUCAAGAUUAGAUCUGCCGGGGCCUUGAGCCCCCUAAAGAGUCGUUCAAGACCAGGACGUUGAUAGGUCAGGUGUGGAAGCCAG